AACGAACGCUGGCGGCAGGCUUAACACAUGCAAGUCGAACGGGCGUAGCAAUACGUCAGUGGCAGACGGGUGAGUAACACGUGGGAACCUUCCUAGGGGUACGGAACAACUCAGGGAAACUUGAGCUAAUACCGUAUACGUCCGUGAGGAGAAAGAUUUAUCGCCCUUAGACGGGCCCGCGUCGGAUUAGCUAGUUGGUGGGGUAACGGCCUACCAAGGCGACGAUCCGUAGCUGAUCUUAGAGGAUGAUCAGCCACACUGGGACUGAGACACGGCCCAGACUCCUACGGGAGGCAGCAGUGGGGAAUCUUGGACAAUGGGCGCAAGCCUGAUCCAGCCAUGCCGCGUGAGUGAAGAAGGUCUUCGGAUUGUAAAGCUCUUUUGUCCAGGGACGAUAAUGACGGUACCUGGAGAAUAAGCCCCGGCAAACUUCGUGCCAGCAGCCGCGGUAAGAGUACUCUAU
rnacentral:rRNA from 1 species